rnacentral:rRNA from 1 species
ACGGGAGGCAGCAGUGGGGAAUAUUGCACAAUGGGCGCAAGCCUGAUGCAGCGAUGCCGCGUGAGGGAAGAAGGUUUUCGGAUUGUAGACCUCUGUCAACAGGGACGAAAAUGACUGUACCUGUGAAGGAAGCUCCGGCUAACUACGUGCCAGCAGCCGCGGUAAUACGUAGGGAGCGAGCGUUAUCCGGAAUUACUGGGUGUAAAGGGAGUGUAGGCGGGACUGUAAGUCAGAUGUGAAAUAUGCCGGCUCAACUGGCAGACUGCAUUUGAAACUGCGGUUCUUGAGUGAAGUAGAGGUAAGCGGAAUUCCUAGUGUAGCGGUGAAAUGCGUAGAUAUUGGGAGGAACAUCAGUGGCGAAGGCGGCUUACUGGGCUUUAACUGACGCUGAGGCUCGAAAGCGUGGGGAGCAAACAGGAUUAGAUACCCUGGUA